GGCUGUAGCUCAGUGGUAGAGCACUUGCCUAGCACAUGUGAGGCACUGGGUUCAAUCCUCAGCACCA
rnacentral:tRNA from 1 species